rnacentral:lncRNA from 1 species
CUCAAAAAGCCUGCUGUUAAUCCAAGCUCUUGUACUCCCACAACGUGCUCCAGUGUCAGAGCUCAUUUAUCAUCCUUUUAAGCAAAGAUCUAACGAGUGCUGCACUCCCUUUGCAAGAAAAACAGGGCAUCAUCAGAGAGACUGAUGGAAACUAUAACCUGAUUUGAAAAGCAGCCUCAUUGGCCUUUAUGAUUUCAAGACUGUCCUAGGGAAGGAGGGGAAGAAGUGAAAAAUCAUACAUCCCCCUAACCUUACUCCAAGUUGCAUCCUGAUUCACAGGCACCUUGUCUGCAGGGUAGACCAGGU